rnacentral:rRNA from 1 species
GGCUACUUCAAACCAUCGCGAACUCGUCCAAGUUGCUUCGGCGGCGCGGCACCCCUUAACGGGGGCGCCGCAGCCCUGCCUCUCCGGAGGUUCGGGGCGCCCGCCGGAGGUACGAAACUCUGUAUUAUAGUGGCAUCUCUGAGUAUAAAACAAAUAAGUUAAAACUUUCAACAACGGAUCUCUUGGUUCUGGCAUCGAUGAAGAACGCAGCGAAAUGCGAUAAGUAAUGUGAAUUGCAGAAUUCAGUGAAUCAUCGAAUCUUUGAACGCACAUUGCGCCCGGUAGUACUCUACCGGGCAUGCCUGUUCGAGCGUCAUUUCAACCCUCAAGCCCUGCUUGGUGUUGGGGCCCUACGGCUGCCGUAGGCCCUGAAAGGAAGUGGCGGGCUCGCUACAACUCCGAGCGUAGUAAUUCAUUAUCUCGCUAGGGAGGUUGCGGCGUGCUCCUGCCGUUAAAGACCCAUCUUUAACCAAGGUUGACCUCGGAUCAGGUAGGAAUACCCGCUGAACUUAAGCAUAUCAAUAAGCGGAGGAAAAGAAACCAACAGGGAUUGCCCUAGUAACGGCGAGUGAAGCGGCAACAGCUCAAAUUUGAAAUCUGGCUUCGGCCCGAGUUGUAAUUUGUAGAGGAUGCUUUUGGUGAGGUGCCUUCUGAGUUCCCUGGAACGGGACGCCAGAGAGGGUGAGAGCCCCGUAUAGUCGGCCACCGAUCCUUUGUAAAGCUCCUUCGACGAGUCGAGUAGUUUGGGAAUGCUGCUCAAAAUGGGAGGUAUAUCUCUUCUAAAGCUAAAUAUAGGCCAGAGACCGAUAGCGCACAAGUAGAGUGAUCGAAAGAUGAAAAGCACUUUGAAAAGAGGGUUAAAUAGCACGUGAAAUUGUUGAAAGGGAAGCGCUUGUGACCAGACUUGUGCCGGGCUGAUCAUCCAGUGUUCUCACUGGUGCACUCGACCCGGCUCAGGCCAGCGUCGGUUUUCGUGGGGGGAUAAAAGCUUCGGGAACGUGGCACCUUCGGGUGUGUUAUAGCCCGUUGCUUAAUACCUCCGUGGAGACCGA